rnacentral:rRNA from 1 species
CGAAACCAGGUGAUCUACCCAUGUCCAGGAUGAAGGUAAGGUAAUACUUACUGGAGGUCCGAACCCACGCACGUUGAAAAGUGCGGGGAUGAGGUGUGGGUAGCGGAGAAAUUCCAAUCGAACUUGGAGAUAGCUGGUUCUCUCCGAAAUAGCUUUAGGGCUAGCCUCGAGGUAAAGAGUCAUGGAGGUAGAGCACUGUUUGGACUAGGGGCCCUUCUCGGGUUACCGAAUUCAGAUAAACUCCGAAUGCCAUGUACUUAUACUCGGGAGUCAGACUGCGAGUGAUAAGAUCCGUAGUCGAAAGGGAAACAGCCCAGACCACCAGUUAAGGUCCCCAAAUAUAUGUUAAGUGGAAAAGGAUGUGGGGUUGCUUAGACAACCAGGAUGUUGGCUUAGAAGCAGCCACCAUUGAAAGAGUGCGUAAUAGCUCACUGGUCGAGUGACCCCGCGCCGAAAAUGUACCGGGGCUAAACAUAUUACCGAAACUGUGGAUGAACCUCUUCGGAGGUUCGUGGUAGGAGAGCGUUCUAAGGGCGGUGAAGUCAGACCGGAAGGACUGGUGGAGCGCUUAGAAGUGAGAAUGCCGGUAUGAGUAGCGAAAGAAGGGUGAGAAUCCCUUCCACCGAAUAUCUAAGGUUUCCUGAGGAAGGCUCGUCCGCUCAGGGUUAGUCGGGACCUAAGCCGAGGCCGAUAGGCGUAGGCGAUGGACAACAGGUAGAGAUUCCUGUACCAGUGCUAAUUGUUUAACCGAUGGGGUGACACAGAAGGAUAGGGAAUCGCACGAAUGGAAAUGUGCGUCCAAGCAGUGAGUGUGAG